rnacentral:pre_miRNA from 1 species
CACUAGUUUCAUAUCCAGAGGAAGACUUCAUUUUAUUUAAUGUUCUCAUUUCACUGAAUAGGGCAGAAUGAAGGAGUCCCUGCCUGUGGUGAGUGACAGUG